AACGAACGCUGGCGGCAUGCCUAACACAUGCAAGUCGAACGAGACCUUCGGGUCUAGUGGCGCACGGGUGCGUAACGCGUGGGAACCUGCCCUUAGGUUCGGAAUAACUCCCCGAAAGGGGUGCUAAUACCGGAUAAUGUCUUCGGACCAAAGAUUUAUCGCCUUUGGAUGGGCCCGCGUUGGAUUAGCUAGUUGGUAGGGUAAAAGCCUACCAAGGCGACGAUCCAUAGCUGGUCUGAGAGGAUGACCAGCCACACUGGGACUGAGACACGGCCCAGGCUCCUACGGGAGGCAGCAGUGGGGAAUAUUGGACAAUGGGCGAAAGCCUGAUCCAGCAAUGCCGCGUGAGUGAUGAAGGCCUUAGGGUUGUAAAGCUCUUUUACCCGGGAUGAUAAUGACAGUACCGGGAGAAUAAGCUCCGGCUAACUCCGUG
rnacentral:rRNA from 1 species